GGAAGUGUGCCCGAAAGAUUAGGGAUCUCCUUGAUAGGGAGCACCACAGGGGUUAAAAUCCCCUCUCUUCCU
rnacentral:tRNA from 1 species